AUACUUACCUGGCAGGGGAGAUACCAUGAUCACGAAGGUGGUUUUCCCAGGGCGAGGCUUAUCCAUUGCACUCCGGAUGUGCUGACCCCUGCGAUUUCCCCAAAUAUGGGAAACUCGACUGCAUAAUUUGUGGUAGUGGGGGACUGCGUUCGUGCUUUCCCCUG
rnacentral:snRNA from 1 species